rnacentral:lncRNA from 1 species
GUCUCCUCUUUCGCCUCCUGCACCUUGGGAGCCCCGGGCUACUCUCUCACAGCCCUUGUUGCCCUGCGAUCUGUAGGUCCUUGGGGACGCAUAGUUAAGGUGCCAGGACAUCCUGGAAGCUGGGAAAUGGUAUGUAUUCAUUUCCUACCACCGUAGUGGAAGAGAGACUAUCCCUAUCUAUACACCUGGUAACAUUUCCAACAGUAAGCUGUGAGAUUCUGCUUGAAAUCACCUCUCAAACAAAUAAAAAACAGUCCUGGGAAAUGUACUACACUCAUUCUGCUAAAGAAAUAGUGCAAGAACUUUUUCUAAGACCCCGAACUCCAGAUAUGCGAUGGGGCAAAUCCUGAAGUGUACAUGGAUAUCUCUCACAGCUAAAGCAUCCCUCAACCCUAUCCAGGGCUUCUUACCCCUGGCGCAAGAGAAUCACCGGCGGGGAGGAAAACUUUCAAAAUCCCUUAAACCCAAGUUGUAACCGAUCAAUUAAAUCAGAAUCCUUGGAGCUGGAUCUGAAAAAAAUAUGGUUUAAAGUUGUGCAGGUGAUUACAAUGUGUAGGCAAGCCACAAAACCAUGGCUUUAACCAGCAGCUUUUGUUAGAAAUGAUUUCUCAAAUGAAUGUGAAAACUUUUGCUGCUGAAUUGUGACCUUUCAAUUUUACCUGCUUUUCCUGCAAAGUAUAUUUUGCAGACCCAGGCAGUGCUGCUCUCUCUGUUCCUGAUUCAUCCAGUGCCAUGUGUGCUCAGUGCAUCCUGUGCAGGGAUCACUGUGUGCCCUGGCCUGGGUGAGCAUCAUUCUUCGGUGAGAACCUUUCCGAAAACAAAGCUGCAUUCCAAAAAGUUAAAACCAUUCUACUUACUGUGUUGAAGUAAAAGCAGCGGGGCUCACCCAAAAGUUAAAACAUAAAUAAAUAACUUGGAACAUUAA